CUCUUUCCAAGAGGGAGGCGCAGUGUGCAAUCCCUGUCACCCGCUCUGACAGCAUCGACCGGAUCUUCGGGCC
rnacentral:tRNA from 1 species